GCCCGGCUGGCUCAGUUGGUGGAGCAUGCAACUCUUGAUCUCAGAUUUGUGAGUUCGAGCCCUACGCUGGGUG
rnacentral:tRNA from 1 species